rnacentral:rRNA from 1 species
GCGGGAAUUCGAUUGAGUUUGAUCCUGGCUCAGAUUGAACGCUGGCGGCAUGCCUAACACAUGCAAGUCGAACGGCAGCACAGCUUAAGCUUGCUUAAGUGGGUGGCGAGUGGCGGACGGGUGAGUAAUGCAUCGGGACCUACCUGAACGUGGGGGAUAACGUAGGGAAACUUACGCUAAUACCGCAUACGUCCUACGGGAGAAAGCGGGGGACCUUCGGGCCUCGCGCGGUCAGACGGACCGAUGUUCGAUUAGCUAGUUGGUAAGGUAAUGGCUUACCAAGGCGACGAUCGAUAGCUGGUCUGAGAGGAUGAUCAGCCACACUGGAACUGAGACACGGUCCAGACUCCUACGGGAGGCAGCAGUGGGGAAUAUUGGACAAUGGGCGCAAGCCUGA